rnacentral:rRNA from 1 species
UGGGGAUUAUUGGACAAUGGGGGGAACCCUGAUCCAGCCAUGCCGCGUGUGUGAAGAAGGCCUUAUGGUUGUAAAGCACUUUAAGCGAGGAGGAGGGUACUGGUAUUAAUACUACCAGGUACUGGACGUUACUCGCAGAAUAAGCACCGGCUAACUCUGUGCCAGCAGCCGCGGUAAUACAGAGGGUGCGAGCGUUAAUCGGAUUUACUGGGCGUAAAGCGUGCGUAGGCGGCUAAUUGAGUCGGAUGUGGAAACCCCGCGGUUAACUUGGGAAUUGCCUUCGAUAAUGGUUAGGUAGGGGGUGGGGGAGGAUGGUAGAAUUCCAGGUGGAGCGGUGAAAUGCGUAGGGGUCUGGAGGAAUACCGAUGGCGGAGGCAGCCAUCUGGCCUAACACUGACGCUGAGGUACGGAAGCAUGGGGGGGAAACAGG